rnacentral:rRNA from 1 species
GACGAACGCUGGCGGCGUGCUUAACACAUGCAAGUCGAACGGAAAGGCCCUGCUUUUGUGGGGUGCUCGAGUGGCGAACGGGUGAGUAACACGUGAGUAACCUGCCCUUGACUUUGGGAUAACUUCAGGAAACUGGGGCUAAUACCGGAUAGGAGCUCCUGCUGCAUGGUGGGGGUUGGAAAGUUUCGGCGGUUGGGGAUGGACUCGCGGCUUAUCAGCUUGUUGGUGGGGUAGUGGCUUACCAAGGCUUUGACGGGUAGCCGGCCUGGGAGGGUGACCGGCCACAUCGGGACUGAGAUACGGACCAGACUCCUACGGGAGGCAGCAGUGGGGAAUAUUGCCCAAUGGGCGGAAGCCUGAUGCAGCAACGCCGGGUGCGGGAUGACGGCCUUCGGGUUGUAAAACGCUUUCGCCUGUGACGAAGCGUGAGUGACGGUAAUGGGUAAAGAAGCACCGGCUAACUACGUG